GAAAACCUGUCUCAGUUCGGAUUGGAGUCUGCAACCCGACUCCAUGAAGCUGGAUUCGCUAGUAAUCGCGCAUCAGCCACGGCGCGGUGAAUACGUUCCCGGGCCUUGUACACACCGCCCGUCAAGCCAUGGAAGCCGGGAGUGCCUGAAGUGCGUGACCGCAAGGAGCGUCCUAAGGCAAUACCGGUGACUGGGGCUAAGUCGUAACAAGGUACC
rnacentral:rRNA from 1 species